rnacentral:rRNA from 1 species
UACGUAGGGUGCAAGCGUUGUCCGGAAUUAUUGGGCGUAAAGAGCUCGUAGGCGGCUUGUUGCGUCGUCCGUGAAACCCGUAGGCGUCAACUCGGCGGGCUUGCGGACGAUAACGGGCAGGCUGGAGUUCGGUGAGGGGAGACGUGGAAUUCCUGGUGUAGCGGUGAAAUGCGCAGAUAUCAGGAGGAACACCGGUGGCGAAGGCGGGUCUCUGGGCCGAUACUGACGCUGAGGAGCGAAAGCGUGGGGGAGCGAACAGGAUUA